CUUUUUUGAUUGUUGGUUUGUGGCAACUGAUCUCUUGUACCUGUUGUUGUUUCUCGUCACAUUGAGGGAGAAUGGAUUCGUAUUUGAUUGGGUAUUGACAUCUAUAAAGCAUGUAAAGUAUGUGGUUUGCAUUUUUGUCUGUCUUAGGUGAUUUUGUUUGAUUUGUUUUCACUAGUAUGUAUGUCUUUGGACGAUUGUUUUAUGAUGAAAAGUGGCAUGAACCGUGACUGUUGUGAUUGUUUUUCUUUCCUUGUGCAUUGUUCUCAGACACUGGUGACUUCAUUUUCAUGUCUUUCUUUUAAAAUAUAUGUGUUUCAUUAUCAUAAUUUGCGCUUGAUAUGUAUCGAUUUUAGUUGAGAUAGUUAGUGUUAAUGAUUUAGGUGUCUAUGUUAUCAAAGUUUAAUUCUUUUGAUGUUUUUGAACGCUAAGUAAAGUUUCAUACUUUUUCUUGUUUGUCAACGCUUAAGUAUUAUGAACUUGUAUUAUGAUGACUUUGUUUUAUGAGUACUGACUGUGGUGAUUGUAUUUGUUUCAUUGUUCACAGGUAUGGCGAU
rnacentral:lncRNA from 1 species